GACGAACCGUGCGACCGUUGUUCGGAAUCACUGGGCUUAAAGGGCGCGUAGGCGGGCUAUCAAGUCCGGGGUGAAAUCCUCCAGCUCAACUGGAGAACGGCCUCGGAUACUGAUGGUCUCGAGGAGGAUAGGGGCACACGGAACUGUGGGUGGAGCGGUGAAAUGCGUUGAUAUCCAUAGGAACUCCGGUGGCGAAAGCGGUGUGCUGGAUCCUUUCUGACGCUGAUGCGCGAAAGCCAGGGGAGCAAACGGG
rnacentral:rRNA from 1 species